rnacentral:rRNA from 1 species
UACAGAGGUCUCAACCGUUGUUCGGAUUCAUUGGGCGUAAAGGGUGCGUAGGUGGCGCUGUAAGUCGGGUGUGAAAUUUCGGAGCUUAACUCCGAAACUGCAUUCGAUACUGCCGUGCUUGAGGACUGGAGAGGAGACUGGAAUUUACGGUGUAGCGGUGAAAUGCGUAGAUAUCGUAAGGAAGACCAGUGGCGAAGGCGGGUCUCUGGACAGUUCCUGACGCUGAGGCACGAAGGUCAGGGGAGCAAACGGG